rnacentral:rRNA from 1 species
GACGAACGCUGGCGGCGUGCUUAACACAUGCAAGUCGAACGAUGAAGCUGGAGCUUGCUCCGGUGGAUUAGUGGCGAACGGGUGAGUAACACGUGAGCAAUCUGCCCUUGACUCUGGGAUAACUGCGGGAAACUGUAGCUACUACCGGAUACGAGAUUUGGAGGCAUCGCCGGCUCUGGAAAGAAUUUGAGUCAAGGAUGAGAGCGCGGGCUAUCAGCUGGUUGGUGAGGUAAUGGCUCACCAAGGCGACGACGGGUAGCCGGCCUGAGAGGGUGACCGGCCACACUGGGACUGAGACACGGCCCAGACUCCUACGGGAGGCAGCAGUGGGGAAUAUUGCACAAUGGGCGAAAGCCUGAUGCAGCAACGCCGCGUGAGGGAUGAAGGCGUUCGGGUUGUAAACCUCUUUUAGUAGGGAAGAAGCGAAAGUGACGGUACCUACAGAAAAAGCACCGGCUAACUACGUGCCAGCAGCCGCGGUAA